rnacentral:rRNA from 1 species
CCUACGGGGGGCAGCAGUGAGGAAUAUUGGUCAAUGGGCGGAAGCCUGAACCAGCCAAGUCGCGUGAGGGAUGACGGCUCUAUGGAUUGUAAACUGCUUUUAUACGGGAAUAACGCGCGGUACGUGUCGGGCUUUGUAUGUACCUUAUGAAUAAGGAUCGGCUAAUUCCGUGCCAGCAGCCGAGGUAAUACGGAGGGUCCGGGCGUUAUCCGGAUUUAUUGGGUUUAAAGGGUGCGUAGGCCGCAUUUCAAGCGUGCGGUGAAAUGUCCGGGCUCAACCAUGGAAUUGCAGUGGAAACUGGGGGGCUUGAGUCCGCGUGAGGCAGGCGGAAUUCGUGGUGUAGCGGUGAAAUGCUUAGAUAUGACGAAGAACCCCGAUGGCGAAGGCAGCUUGCU